CCACUUUCACAUAGCCAAUUGGUCCUAUUGUUUAGGUGUGAAUAGGUCUGGCCAUGAACUCAUACGACUUGCGAACUUUCCUGGAAGCACAUCUCCUUGUUUCAUCGGACUGGAUAUAACAACAUUAAAAGAAUCAAUCACCCACUGGAUGUCCUGCUGCUGAUGAUAAUGAGGACGACAUCGAGCCAACCAAACCAAGCCAACCAACUUAAGCAACUAUGCAACUUAACAAACUGCUGUCAACACACCAAGGGGAGGACGACCAUCUUUAGUCAGUGGGAGACCUCUGACAUCCAGAAUAGUGACACCUCAGAGACCUGUGACUGCUCAGAAGAGACCAUCCAAUGGGGUCCCAGCCAAGAGGUCAUGUGAAGAUAUGGUUUUCAUUCUGUUUUGUAUAUAAUAUUAUAUACAUCUUUUAUUUGAUUGAUAAAAAUAUGACUAUUGGGUGGAUAUUAGUCAUGAUCCACACUGCAAACAACCCCUUAGUAGUUCUAUAUAUUUGUUCAGACAGUGUGAGUGCAAAUGCUGAAAUUCUGCUCCCAACUAGGCCCAACAUUGCAAUAUUACGUUUCCCUAAAAACUUACUAUAACAGUUUAUAUCUAUCUUAAUUUCUCCAUUAUUGCAAAAGACACAUCAUUACAGAAAUAAAGGUAUCUUCACACA